AACGUAGGAGACAAACGUUAUCCGGAGUUACUGGGCGUAAAGGGCGUGUAGGCGGUUUGUUAAGUCUGGCGUGAAAGCUCUCGGCUAAACCGGGAGAGGUCGUUGGAUACUGGCAAACUAGAGGACGGUAGAGGCGUGUGGAAUUCCGGGUGUAGUGGUGAAAUGCGUAGAGAUCCGGAGGAACGCCAGUGGCGAAGGCGACACGCUGGGCCGUACCUGACGCUAAAGCGCGACAGCAUGGGGAGCAAACGGG
rnacentral:rRNA from 1 species